rnacentral:rRNA from 1 species
UACAGUUUGAUCCUGGCUCAGAAUCAACGCUGGCGGCGUGCCUAACACAUGCAAGUCGAACGCGAAAGGGGCUUCGGCCCUGAGUAGAGUGGCGAACGGGUGAGUAACACGUGGGUGAUCUACCUUCGAGUGGGGGAUAACGUCCCGAAAGGGUCGCUAAUACCGCAUGACGUUCUGGGUUUAAAGACCUGGAAACCAAAGCCGGGGACCGCAAGGCCUGGCGCUUGGAGAGGAGCCCGCGUCCGAUUAGCUAGUUGGCGGGGUAAUGGCCCACCAAGGCGACGAUCGGUAGCCGGCCUGAGAGGGCGGACGGCCACACUGGAACUGAGACACGGUCCAGACUCCUACGGGAGGCAGCAGUGGGGAAUUGUUCACAAUGGGCGCAAGCCUGAUGACGCAACGCCGCGUGGGGGAUGAAGGUCUUCGGAUU